rnacentral:rRNA from 1 species
UACGUAGGGUGCGAGCGUUGUCCGGAAUUAUUGGGCGUAAAGGGCUCGUAGGCGGUUUGUCGCGUCGGGAGUGAAAACACCGGGCUUAACUCGGUGCUUGCUUUCGAUACGGGCAGACUAGAGGCAUGCAGGGGAGAACGGAAUUCCUGGUGUAGCGGUGAAAUGCGCAGAUAUCAGGAGGAACACCGGUGGCGAAGGCGGGUCUCUGGGCCGAUACUGACGCUGAGACGCGAAAGCGUGGGGAGCAAACAGG